rnacentral:tRNA from 2 species
GGGCACCUCGUCUAACCGGAUAGGAUCUCCGGCUUCUAACCGGCCAGGUGGGGGGUUCGAAUCCUCCGGUGCCCACCA